AAUUGGGGGAUAUUUACAAUAUGGAACUGUAAAACAAUAUGGAUACAACAACUAUUAGUCUAAAGAAUGGGAUGGAUAUGGUGCAUGAUACUAAAAACAGUGUACAGAGUGUAUAUAAAACUGCUGUAACAGCAAAAGUUUUAGAAAUCUGAAAAUGAUACUUCAACACACUCAAAACAGCAAAGAACUAUCUAAAUCAGAAAAGGAAAACUCAAAACAGAAAAGAAACAUGUUAGUGAAUUCAAAUCAGCAAAGAUAAACAAAAUCAGGUUUGUUUAGUUAAAACUAGUUAGUAAACAAAAUCUCAAAACAACAAAUGAAACUAAUAAAAACAACUACUACUAAUCUCAAAACAGUAAAGCAUUAUAGGUUAACCUACAAAAGCAGCAAAAAAAGAAAAGAAUUGGUUCAAAACAGCAAAGAAAGUUCAAAAAAGAGAAUAAAACUCAAAAUGGCAGUACUGCACCUUUCCUAAUCUCUAGAAACAGCAAAUGACUCAAUAUGACUCAAAACAAAGCAAUCAAAGAUGAAAUCAGCAAAAAGAAGUUCAAAGCAGCAAUAUAUGUAUAAAGCAGCAAAGGAGAACUAAGCAAAAAAAUGAAAACUGCCUACUACGCUUCAUUCUUGCUAGUCAAGGGUCAAUUCUGAUUUCUUGUGUGUAAGUGCUCACUUUGUACUCCUUAAAACUCAAUCUUUAAUCCAAAAAUUGAGUCUAGAUAAAAUGCGAGAAUGAGAACCAAGUGUUCAUUAAUUGAACUUGAAUUUCUGAUAAAGAAGGAAUAAAUUAACUAACGUAAUGCAUGAGUUUGAAACUAGAAUCAAUAGAGAAGCAGCAAAAGAAGAACAGGAAUCAUAAGAUGAAAUAGAAAGCAUCUCAGGAAAGUAAAAUCAAACGAAAAACAGAAUUGCAUUAGUGGAACCUGAAACAGCCCUUGAGAAUAUCACUUGGAAUGUACAGAACCAGAGAAAAAGGUUUUUGAGAAACUAACCUAAGCUACUACUACAACAACGCUACUAAGGAAGCACUAUUUACACAGGUUUCUAAUGACCAGUCAAGCCUUUAUAUAGGCUGAAGCAAAGAGCUAAAACUGGAAAACAAAUGAACAAAACAGGUUUCUAACUCUAGUCCUAGGAAACCUAAACAGCAGGUCAACUUUUCCAGCUUCUUCUAAAUUGGACUGGCUAAGGCAGGUCAACAUGUUGUGCAGCAAAUGUCUAGUCAACUUCCAACUGGCUGUCAUAGGUUGCUUCAACGUCACUGCCAGUCUUGGACAAGGUUCAGCUUCUCUGUCCAGCUGUCUCUUCAUCUCAAAGCGACAGGUGUGGGUUUCUUUGUCUUUUCCAGCUCUAAAACCUUGAGUAACCUCUCACAGCAGGUGCAACUGCUUGUCUUUCACAGCUUGCAACCAGCCUCUGCCUUCCACUCAUUGAUUGACUUCUCAUUUAUUUCCUCAACUGGUCACUAGUCUGCCUUUACUUGUCUUCCUUUUCCUUCACAGCACCUAAAACAAGGAGUUCUCUCAAGUUAAAUGUACUAAGGUAAAAAUCAAUUUAAGCACCAAAACUUAAUCUGGAAAAUUAUGCUGCACAUGAAAACAGAAAAGUAAAGCUAGAGACUUCAACUAUUCUACUUAGGAAAUUACUAUGAAAAACUAAACUAGAAAAGCUACUUAAAAACACAAAAUUAGAACAUUUUCCUAAAAUCUCUAUUUUUUAUAAGAAAACUGAAAAUGGAUUAAAACCAAAAAAUGAAAAACAUGACAAAUUAGGGACUUAACAUUUCUUCUUUUCAUUUUCAGGAUGAUACUGUCAAUGUAUGCUUCUGUGACAAAUAUUGUGCCUGACCUGGGUGAACAGUCCAAAAUCUCAGGCUAUAUUGUGGAUAAGCAUAAAGACGCAGUUGAGAAGUUUGAAUAUGAUACCUCUAAGAUGACUGCUUUUGAUAUAUGUAAUGGUGUUUGGAAAAUAAUUAGUGAGUGAUGCAUGUCAACCACAUAGGUUGAUACUUGCAACGAUGUAUUAUUUUCUCUAUUUUGAGUGGAAUCUUAGCAGUCCUACAAUUCACUCAUUGGUGUAAGAGUUCUGUCUUAAUUUAUUAUGAAUUUGCCAUGUUGAUAUUAACUACUCAGAGAAAGGUAAUAUAACUUGUAAUACUCAUUUUCA